UAUACUGUGAAACUGCGAAUGGCUCAUUAAAUCAGUUAUCGUUUAUUUGAUAGUACCUUACUACUUGGAUAACCGUGGUAAUUCUAGAGCUAAUACAUGCUAAAAACCUCGACUUCGGAAGGGGUGUAUUUAUUAGAUAAAAAACCAAUGCCCUUCGGGGCUCCCUGGUGAUUCAUAAUAACUUAACGAAUCGCAUGGCCUUGUGCCGGCGAUGGUUCAUUCAAAUUUCUGCCCUAUCAACUUUCGAUGGUAGGAUAGUGGCCUACCAUGGUUUCAACGGGUAACGGGGUAUUAGGGUACUAUACCGGAGAGGGAGCCUGAGAAACGGCUACCACAUCCAAGGAAGGCAGCAGGCGCGCAAAUUACCCAAUCCCGACACGGGGAGGUAGUGACAAUAAAUACUGAUACAGGGCUCUUUUGGGUCUUGUAAUUGGAAUGAGUACAAUUUAAAUCCCUUAACGAGGAACAAUUGGAGGGCAAGUCUGGUGCCAGCAGCCGCGGUAAUUCCAGCUCCAAUAGCGUAUAUUAAAGUUGUUGCAGUUAAAAAGUUCGUAGUUGACCUUGGGCCUGGCUGGCCGGUCCGCCUCACCGCGUGCACUGGUCCGGCCGGCCUUUCCUUCUGGGGAUCCCCAUGCCCUUCACUGGGUGUGCGGGGGAACCAGGACUUUUACUUUGAAAAAAUUAGAGUGUUCAAAGCAGGCCUAUGCUCGAAUACAUUAGCAUGGAAUAAUAGAAUAGGACGUGUGGUUCUAUUUUGUUGGUUUCUAGGACCGCCGUAAUGAUUAAUAGGGAUAGUUGGGGCCAUCAGUAUUGCUGUGUCAGAGGUGAAAUUCUUGGAUUUCAGCAAGACUAACUACUGCGAAAGCAUUUGGCAAAGAUGUUUUCAUUAAUCAGUGAACGAAAGUUAGGGGAUCGAAGACGAUCAGAUACCGUCGUAGUCUUAACCAUAAACUAUGCCGACUAGGGAUCGGGCGAUGUUAUCUUUUUGACUCGCUCGGCACCUCACGAGAAAUCAAAGUCUUUGGGUUCU
rnacentral:rRNA from 1 species